GACGAACGCUGGCGGCGUGCUUAACACAUGCAAGUCGAACGGAAAGGCCCUGCUUGCAGGGUACUCGAGUGGCGAACGGGUGAGUAACACGUGGGUGAUCUGCCCUGCACUUCGGGAUAAGCCUGGGAAACUGGGUCUAAUACCGGAUAGGAGCCAUUUUUAGUGUGAUGGUUGGAAAGUUUUUUCGGUGUAGGAUGAGCUCGCGGCCUAUCAGCUUGUUGGUGGGGUAAUGGCCUACCAAGGCGGCGACGGGUAGCCGUCCUGAGAGGGUGGACGGCCACAUUGGGACUGAGAUACGGCCCAGACUCCUACGGGAGGCAGCAGUGGGGAAUAUUGCACAAUGGGCGCAAGCCUGAUGCAGCGACGCCGCGUGGGGGAUGACGGCCUUCGGGUUGUAAACUCCUUUCGCUAGGGACGAAGCUUUUUGUGACGGUGCCUAGAUAAGAAGCACCGGCUAACUACGUG
rnacentral:rRNA from 1 species